UUUUGGACAAUGGGCGAAAGCCUGAUCCAGCAAUGCCGCGUGUGGGAAGAAGGCCUUCGGGUUGUAAACCACUUUUGUACGGAACGAAAAGGUCUGCCCUAAUACGGUGGGCCCAUGACGGUACCGUAAGAAUAAGCACCGGCUAACUACGUGCCAGCAGCCGCGGUAAUACGUAGGGUGCGAGCGUUAAUCGGAAUUACUGGGCGUAAAGCGUGCGCAGGCGGUUAUAUAAGACAGUUGUGAAAUCCCCGGGCUCAACCUGGGAAUUGCAUCUGUGACUGUAUAGCUAGAGUACGGUAGAGGGGGAUGGAAUUCCGCGUGUAGCAGUGAAAUGCGUAGAUAUGCGGAGGAACACCGAUGGCGAAGGCAAUCCCAUGGACCUGUACUGACGCUCAUGCACGAAA
rnacentral:rRNA from 1 species